GACGAACGCUGGCGGCGUGCCUAAUACAUGCAAGUCGAACGCACAGUUUAUACCGUAGCUUGCUCCACCAUAGACUGUGAGUUGCGAACGGGUGAGUAACGCGUAGGUAACCUGCCUGGUAGCGGGGGAUAACUAUUGGAAACGAUAGCUAAUACCGCAUAAUAUUAAUUAUUGCAUGAUAAUUAAUUGAAAGGUGCAAUUGCACCACUACCAGAUGGACCUGCGUUGUAUUAGCUAGUAGGUGAGGUAACGGCUCACCUAGGCGACGAUACAUAGCCGACCUGAGAGGGUGAUCGGCCACACUGGGACUGAGACACGGCCCAGACUCCUACGGGAGGCAGCAGUAGGGAAUCUUCGGCAAUGGACGAAAGUCUGACCGAGCAACGCCGCGUGAGUGAAGAAGGGUUUCGGAUCGUAAAGCUCGGUUGUAAGAGAAGAACGGGUGUGAGAGUGGAAAGUUCACACUGUGACGGUAGCUUACCAGAAAGGGACGGCUAACUACGUG
rnacentral:rRNA from 1 species